rnacentral:rRNA from 1 species
UACGGGGGGAGCAAGCGUUGUUCGGAUUUACUGGGCGUAAAGGGCGCGUAGGCGGCGUGACAAGUCACUUGUGAAAUCUCCGGGCUUAACUCGGAACGGUCAAGUGAUACUGUCGUGCUAGAGUGCGGAAGGGGCAACUGGAAUUCUUGGUGUAGCGGUGAAAUGCGUAGAUAUCAAGAGGAACACCUGCGGCGAAGGCGGGUUACUGGGCCGACACUGACGCUGAUAGCGCGAAAGCUAGGGGAGCGAACGGG